GUAAAGGCUGUGAAUGUGUUAAGUAGUGCACUAUACUUUUUUCAGAGAGAGCGAGUCACCGGCUGAAAGCUUGCUUAAGGUAAGGUAGGAAUCGAAUUUCGCACAGGAGCUUCUUAGAGGAACAGGAAGAGAAUUUAUAUUCUUGGAAUCAGUAUUUUAAGACGGAAUACACGUUACGUAUAAUGAAGUGUUUUUGCCAGAGUAGUUAGGAUGGCAGAAGAAUCAGGGUGGUACCGCGGAAUAGUUCGUCCCUAUG
rnacentral:ncRNA from 1 species